rnacentral:tmRNA from 1 species
GGGGGCGAACUGGUUUCGACGGGGUUAUUGAGGAGAAACUGGCGUGCCGAGGUUCCCGGUCACCUCGUUAAUCAACUGGGAAAAAACCUAAACGCAAACACUUCGUAUGCGUUAGCCGCCUAAUUCUAGGCGGUUCCCUCCUCCGGGACUUUCCUGUUGGUUUCGGAGUCGAGGGUCGGUAAAGACAGGAUAGUUCCGAUUUGAGCCUUGCAAAUCGGAGCGAAAACACAAAGGCUGGCAGGAUCGGUAGCCUGCUUGUCGGCGACCCCUCCUGCGAGAACCAAAAGAUAAGCUACGCACGUAGAAGGUUUCUUGUAGGUAUCCUCGGACGGGGGUUCGAUUCCCCCCGCCUCCAUUU